rnacentral:rRNA from 1 species
AUUGAACGCUGGCGGCAGGCUUAACACAUGCAAGUCGAGCGGAGAUGAGGUGCUUGCACCUUAUCUUAGCGGCGGACGGGUGAGUAAUGCUUAGGAAUCUGCCUAUUAGUGGGGGACAACAUUCCGAAAGGAAUGCUAAUACCGCAUACGCCCUACGGGGGAAGCAGGGGAUCUUCGGACCUUGCGCUAAUAGAUGAGCCUAAGUCGGAUUAGCUGGUUGGUGGGGUAAAGGCCUACCAAGGCGACGAUCUGUAGCGGGUCUGAGAGGAUGAUCCGCCACACUGGGACUGAGACACGGCUCAGACUCCUACGGGAGGCAGCAGUGGGGAAUAUUGGACAAUGGGCGGAAGCCUGAUCCAGCCAUGCCGCGUGUGUGAAGAAGGCCUUUUGGUUGUAAAGCACUUUAAGCGAGGAGGAGGCUACCUGGAUUAAUACUCUAGGAUAGUGGACGUUACUCGCAGAAUAAGCACCGGCUAACUCUGUGCCAGCAGCCGCCGUAACAC